rnacentral:rRNA from 1 species
UGGGGAAUUUUGGACAAUGGGCGAAAGCCUGAUCCAGCAAUGCCGCGUGUGUGAAGAAGGCCUUCGGGUUGUAAAGCACUUUUGUCCGGAAAGAAAUCCUUGGCUCUAAUACAGUCGGGGGAUGACGGUACCGGAAGAAUAAGCACCGGCUAACUACGUGCCAGCAGCCGCGGUAAUACGUAGGGUGCAAGCGUUAAUCGGAAUUACUGGGCGUAAAGCGUGCGCAGGCGGUUUGCUAAGACCGAUGUGAAAUCCCCGGGGCUCAACCUGGGAACUGCAUUGGUGACUGGCAGGCUAGAGUAUGGCAGAGGGGGGUAGAAUUCCACGUGUAGCAGUGAAAUGCGUAGAGAUGUGGAGGAAUACCGAUGGCGAAGGCAGCCCCCUGGGCCAAUACUGACGCUCAUGCACGAAAGCGUGGGGAGCAAACAGGAUUAGAUACCCUGGUAGUCCACGCCCUAAACGAUGUCAACUAGUUGUUGGGGAUUCAUUUCCUUAGUAACGUAGCUAACGCGUGAAGUUGACCGCCU